rnacentral:lncRNA from 1 species
UGUAAACAAAUAAAUACUUAUUAUUUUGAAAAUAUUUAUAAUUGUACCACAACAUCCUAAUUAUAUUGAUAAAUUUAAUUACCACCAUAAUUAUAGCAAAUAAGUGCUUUAUUAUUACAAAAGUAUCUACUUUAUACUUGUAUAUACUAAACGCCUAACUUUGUGGUUAAUUCCCUUUGUGUCCUUUUUACUGUUCAUUCGUCAGUGUUCUUCCCUUUUUGCCCUUUCUUUGUUUCUGUGAUCACAGUUUAUUAUCCGUUUUUACCCCUGUUUUUGUCAGUGAUGGACGAGUUGCUGAUGGUGGAAGCGUGUUCUUUCUCAGAUUUCUCGACCUCUCUCUCAAAGAUUCCAGUAAAUCAUUCCGUUUCCUUCUGUGUAGGUUUCUCGAGUUCUCUCUCUAAAAUUCAAUCUCUCUCCAAAAUUUCAUACUUCUCCUUCAAACCAGUUUCUCUCUCUAGAACUCCGACUGCUGCCUUCUCUCUUUCACAUUCUUGAUGAAAACGACUCACUUCCUAGCUCCCCUGUCACUUCUAUGUCCGCCGUUGGUGGGUAUUAUAAGCUCAUGGAGCUCUCGGUUUUGUUCAUUUCUUUUUGGG